rnacentral:rRNA from 1 species
ACUGAACGCUGGCGGCAUGCUUUACACAUGCAAGUCGAACGGUAACAGGGAGCUUGCUCCGCUGACGAGUGGCGAACGGGUGAGUAAUGCGUCGGAACGUGCCGAGUAGUGGGGGAUAACGCAUCGAAAGGUGUGCUAAUACCGCAUACGAACUGAGGUUGAAAGUGGGGACCUUCGGGCCUCACGCUAUUCGAGCGGCCGACGUCUGAUUAGCGAAUUGGUGAGGUAACGGCUCACCAAGGCGACGAUCAGUAGCGGGUCUGAGAGGAUGAUCCGCCACACUGGGACUGAGAAACGGCCCAGAGUCCUCCGGGAGGCAGCAGUGGGGAAUUUUGGACAAUGGGCGAGAGCCUGAUCCAGCCAUUCCGCGUGUCUGAAGAAGGCCUUCGGGUUGUAAAGGACUUUUGUCCGGGAGCAAAUGCUGGUGGCUAACAUCCACCGGAGCUGAGAGUACCGGAAGAAUAAGCACCGGCUAACUACGUGCCAGCCGCCGCGGUAAGAC